rnacentral:lncRNA from 1 species
UUACAUAUAAGUUGAAUGACUGUCCAAACUAAAGAGACAUACAAGUUCAUUAAAGUUUAAUUACAACAUGAGCUAAUCGAUAUUUCAGAACUACAUAGCAUCAAUACUUUUGACUCGACUCAGGGACCGGAGCGUGGAUGAAGCCGCCGUCUUUCGUGAUGGUCAUGAAUGUGCGGUUGUUGUCAGCCUGCAUUUGUAGCGUUGUGUCUA